rnacentral:rRNA from 1 species
AUUGAACGCUGGCGGCAGGCCUAACACAUGCAAGUCGAGCGGAAGAAGGGAGCUUGCUCCUGGAUCCAGCGGCGGACGGGUGAGUAAUGCCUAGGAAUCUGCCUGGUAGUGGGGGAUAACGUCGGGAAAGGUGCGCUAAUACCGCAUACGUCCUGAGGGAGAAGGUGGGGGAUCUUCGGACCUCACGCUAUCAGAUGAGCCUAUGUCGGAUUAGCUAGUUGGUGGGGUAAAGGCCUACCAAGGCGACGAUCCGUAACUGGUCUGAGAGGAUGAUCAGUCACACUGGAACUGAGACACGGUCCAGACUCCUACGGGAGGCAGCAGUGGGGAAUAUUGGACAAUGGGCGCAAGCCUGAUCCAGCCAUGCCGCGUGCGGGACGAAGGUCUUCGGAUUGUAAAGCACUUUAAGUUGGGAGGAAGGGCAGUAAGUUAAUACCUUGCUGUUUUGACGUUACCAAAAGAAUAAGCACCGGCUAACUUCGUG